UACGUAGGGUGCGAGCGUUAAUCGGAAUUACUGGGCGUAAAGCGUGCGCAGGCGGUUUUUCAAGUCUGGUGUGAAAUCCCCGGGCUUAACCUGGGAAUUGCGCUUGUUACUGGCAGACUUGAGUGUGGCAGAGGGGGGUGGAAUUCCAAGUGUAGCAGUGAAAUGCGUAGAUAUGUGGAGGAACACCGAUGGCGAAGGCAGCCCCCUGGGUUAACACUGACGCUCAUGCACGAAAGCGUGGGGAGCAAACAGG
rnacentral:rRNA from 1 species